GUAGGGUCCAAGCGUUAAUCGGAAUUACUGGGCGUAAAGCGUGCGCAGGCGGUUGUGCAAGACCGAUGUGAAAUCCCCGGGCUUAACCUGGGAAUUGCAUUGGUGACUGCACGGCUAGAGUGUGUCAGAGGGGGGUAGAAUUCCACGUGUAGCAGUGAAAUGCGUAGAGAUGUGGAGGAAUACCGAUGGCGAAGGCAGCCCCCUGGGAUAACACUGACGCUCAUGCACGAAAGCGUGGGGAGCAAACAGGAUUAGAUACCCUGGUAGUCCACGCCCUAAACGAUGUCAACUAGUUGUUGGGGAUUCAUUUCCUUAGUAACGUAGCUAACGCGUGAAGUUGACCGCCUGGGGAGUACGGUCGCAAGAUUA
rnacentral:rRNA from 1 species